rnacentral:lncRNA from 1 species
GAUUAGUUUACUUAAAAAAAUUACUUUGUAUUUAAUUGGAUUAUUCAAGUUCAAUAUUGCUAGAAUUUUACUAGUGGACCUUCUGUCUAAUUGGUGUCUCUUAGUAAGGAGGUCCUGUAACUGUUGAAUUAAAAAAAAAUCAUUAGAAAUUUGAUAACCAUUUUGUUUACAGUAAAGUUGUGUCUGGUAUGAGAUUAAAAAAUUGGAGUGGAAAUUUUAAGUAAGAUUUAAGGAUGAAAGUGUUAUGGGUAUAAAAUCUUGUUAAGGGGUGAUGUGUUAUGUGUUUGGUGUAAGUUUAAAAGAUAAUGAGUAAUAGGGGGUCCCAUUAAAAAUUAAACCACUUCUUGAAUUAAACCUUAUUGUAAAAAUAAAAAUUAUAAAGAUGGAUCCCAUAUGCAAGGUGUAAGAUAAAUAGAGAAAAAUUAGAUGAUAAAUUAAAAACGAGAGGGAAAGCACAAAAAAAAAAAAAAAAUCCCCCCUUGAUGAAUUUUUUACUCCCUACCCUUGGAGGGUAACAUUUAACCACACUUUUGGGGUUGAAUGUUACCCUCAACUUUUCCUACUCGGGAAUUUUGUGCUACAUAGGGGGAAAGGGGUCGUUCCUGUCAUACCAAAAAUAACUGAAGGUGUAAGAGGCAUCAAGUAGGGCUAGAUGAG